UAGAGUUGUAACACCCCAAUUUUCGGGAAUCCUGUGAAUGUUGGCAUAGGUUUAAUUAUGUUAGUGGGCCUCUAGAAAGCCCAAACUUAAGAUAGAACCCGACAAUUUUAGUUAAUUUUUGUUCCAUAAGAAAAAGGGGGUGAAAUUAUGAAAUAGGACCUAUGUGAAAAUGUUUGAAAAUGAUAUAGGCUAAAUUGAAGUGGCCAAAUAAAUAGGAGUGCAAAAUAGGAGGAUUUGCAUGACAAACCUCCCAUUUUACAUGAAGUGGCCAACCAUCAUGUUGUUGUAGACAAAAUGUACACUUGAUAUCCAUAAUUUAUGGUACAAAUUGAUACAAAUUGAUAAUAGGUUAGGUAAAUGUUCCAUGAUAAUGGGUUAGGUAAAUGUUUCAUGAUAAUAGGUUAGGUAAAUGUUCCAUGAUAAUGGGUUAGGUAAAUGUUUCAUGAUAAUGGGUUAGGUAAAUGUUUCAUGAUAAGAAUAUCAUGUAUUUUGUAUUAAAGAAUUAAAUGGAUGAAAUAUGAAGUUUUAUUAAAAGAAAAAGGGAUGAAAAGAACAAAGUUUUGUCCAUCUUUGUUCAUCAUAGCUGAAAGUUAGAGAAGAGAAAGGAGAGGAGAAAGCUCUUGAGUAUUCGGUCAUUAGGAGGAGGAAAAUUGAAGGAAAUCCCCAACCAUAGUGGGCUUGGAGCUGUGAGGGAAUUCGGAGUGGCCACCCGUUCUGAAAGUUUGAUUUUCUUCUGGUGAACUGGACAUCCUUUUAAUUACGUUUGAGGUUUUGGGCUUUUAAAUGUAAUAAGGCCGCUUAUUUAUUUUUGAUGGUUUUUAAUAUGUAUUACUAAGAUAGGUAAUACUUAUUUUAA